rnacentral:rRNA from 1 species
GACGAACGCUGGCGGCGUGCUUAACACAUGCAAGUCGAACGGAAAGGCCCUGCUUUUGUGGGGUGCUCGAGUGGCGAACGGGUGAGUAACACGUGAGUAACCUGCCCUUGACUUUGGGAUAACUUCAGGAAACUGGGGCUAAUACCGGAUAGGAGCUCCUGCUGCAUGGUGGGGGUUGGAAAGUUUCGGCGGUUGGGGAUGGACUCGCGGCUUAUCAGCUUGUUGGUGGGGUAGUGGCUUACCAAGGCUUUGACGGGUAGCCGGCCUGAGAGGGUGACCGGCCACAUUGGGACUGAGAUACGGCCCAGACUCCUACGGGAGGCAGCAGUGGGGAAUAUUGCACAAUGGGCGGAAGCCUGAUGCAGCAACGCCGCGUGCGGGAUGACGGCCUUCGGGUUGUAAACCGCUUUCGCCUGUGACGAAGCGUGAGUGACGGUAAUGGGUAAAGAAGCACCGGCUAACUACGUGCCAGCAGCCGCGGUGAUACGUAGGGUGCGAGCGUUGUCCGGAUUUAUUGGGCGUAAAGGGCUCGUAGGUGGUUGAUCGCGUCGGAAGUGUAAUCUUGGGGCUUAACCCUGAGCGUGCUUUCGAUACGGGUUGACUUGAGGAAGGUAGGGGAGAAUGGAAUUCCUGGUGGAGCGGUGGAAUGCGCAGAUAUCAGGAGGAACACCAGUGGCGAAGGCGGUUCUCUGGGCCUUUCCUGACGCUGAGGAGCGAAAGCGUGGGGAGCGAACAGGCUUAGAUACCCCGGUAGUCCACGCUGUAAACGGUGGGUACUAGGUGUGGGGUCCAUUCCACGGGUUCCGUGCCGUAGCUAACGCUUUAAGUACCCCGCCUGGGGAGUACGGCCGCAAGGCUAAAACUCAAAGGAAUUGACGGGGCCCCGCACAAGCGGCGGAGCAUGCGGAUUAAUUCGAUGCAACGCGUAGAACCUUACCUGGGUUUGACAUGGAUCGGGAGUGCUCAGAGAUGGGUGUGCCUCUUUUGGGGUCGGUUCACAGGUGGUGCAUGGCUGUCGUCAGCUCGUGUCGUGAGAUGUUGGGUUAAGUCCCGCAACGAGCGCAACCCUUGUUCACUGUUGCCAGCACGUUAUGGUGGGGACUCAGUGGAGACCGCCGGGGUCAACUCGGAGGAAGGUGGGGAUGACGUCAAGUCAUCAUGCCCCUUAUGUCCAGGGCUUCACGCAUGCUACAAUGGCUGGUACAGAGAGUGGCGAGCCUGUGAGGGUGAGCGAAUCUCGGAAAGCCGGUCUCAGUUCGGAUUGGGGUCUGCAACUCGACCUCAUGAAGUCGGAGUCGCUAGUAAUCGCAGAUCAGCAACGCUGCGGUGAAUACAUUCCCGGGGCU